GGUUGUAGGACUGAUGUUGAGUUACAAAGGUAUAAGAUAGCAGAAACAGUUGGGAAGCUGUUCCAAAGAGGGUGACAGGCCCGUAUGCGAAAUCUUGUACUCUCUAAUCAGGAUCCUGAGUACGGCCCAGCACGUGAAAUUGGGUCGGAAUCUGGGAGGACCAUCUCCCAAGGCUAAAUACUAACUAGUGACCGAUAGCGAACAAGUACCGUGAGGGAAAGGUGAAAAGAACCCCGGAAGGGGAGUGAAAUAGUUCUUGAAACCGUGUGCUUACAAGAAGUUCGAGGCCGUUAAUGGCUGAGAGCGUGCUUUUUGUAGAAUGAACCGGAGAGUUACGAUUGCGUGCAAGGUUAAGGUGCAAAGACUGGAGCCGUAGCGAAAGCGAGUCUUAAUAGGGCGAAUCAGUACGUAGUUGUAGACCCGAAACCGAGUGACCUAUCC
rnacentral:rRNA from 1 species